rnacentral:rRNA from 1 species
UUUAACGAGCGCAACCUCAUUGCAUGUACUUUUUCAUGCGAGACUGCCCUGGUUAACAGGGAGGAAGGUGGGGAUGACGUCAGAUCAGCACUGGCCCUUACGGCCUUGGGCUACACACGUGUUACAAUGGUCAGUACAAUGGGUCGCAAUACCGUAAGGUGGAGCUAAUCCGUGAAAACUGAUCUCAGUUCGGAUAGAGGGCUGAAACUCGCCCUCUUGAAGUUGGAAUCGCUAGUAACCGCAAAUCAGCACGUUGCGGUGAAUACGUUCCCGGGUCUU